rnacentral:rRNA from 1 species
GACGAACGCUGGCGGCGUGCUUAACACAUGCAAGUCGAACGGAAAGGCCCUGCUUUUGUGGGGUGCUCGAGUGGCGAACGGGUGAGUAACACGUGAGUAACCUGCCCUUGACUUUGGGAUAACUUCAGGAAACUGGGGCUAAUACCGGAUAGGAGCUCCUGCUGCAUGGUGGGGGUUGGAAAGUUUCGGCGGUUGGGGAUGGACUCGCGGCUUAUCAGCUUGUUGGUGGGGUAGUGGCUUACCAAGGCUUUGACGGGUAGCCGGCCUGAGAGGGUGACCGGCCACAUUGGGGCUGAGGUACGGCCCAGACUCCUACGGGAGGGAGCAGUGGGGAUUAUUGCACAAUGGGCGGAAGCCUGAUGCAGCAACGCCGCGUGCGGGAUGACGGCCUUCGGGUUGUAAACCGCUUUCGCCUGUGACGAAGCGUGAGUGACGGUAAUGGGUAAAGAAGCACCGGCUAACUACGU